UAAGGGGAGGUAUUUAGGUCAUGAGGACUCUACUCUCAUGGAUGGGUUAAAGGCAAUUAUAAAAAGGCCUGAGACUGUGAGUUUGAACUUUUUUUUUUUUUCUCUUGAUUGUGCUUUCUUGCCCUUCUGCCUUCCACCAUGGAACAACGCAGCAAGGAGUCCCUUGCCAGAUGUGGGAUUCUAAAUUGUGGACUUCAUGGACUUCUCAUCCUCCGGAACUGUAAGAAAUAAAUCGCUAUUCUUUAUAAAUUAUCCAGUCUCAGGUGUUCUGUUAUAGCAGCAGAACAGAAAAUGGACUAAGACACUUGGGUUUGAGUAUUCACUGGGACCAGAAAAGAGCAAAGCAAGACCAUCCUGUCCUCUAAUGCCAGGAAAACUGCAAAUACCAAGUCAUUUUCCAUGUGAAAAUGCAUCAGUCCCAGAGUUGAAAAGCACCUAGAGUCAGAGGCCUCUGAAGAGCUGGCUUUGGAAGAAUGAGCUCGGACUCCCUUUCCUUGUCACUCUUUGGGCCUUCGGACACAGACUGAAUUACACCACUAGCUUUCCUGGCUCUCCAGCUUGAAAAUGUCAUAUUGUGGGACUUCUCAGCCUCCAUCAUGGGUCUAUACUUCUGGAAUAUGUCCUGCUAGAAGUGAAGACUUUCCAGUACAGAAGGACACUUCUUCAAAGUCCCAGGAGCUGAGUUCUGAAUCCACCGUGUGUACCCCACACAGACUCUGCUGCACAGUGGGGGUAGCCAGGAUGGGGAAGUGUGUCCCAAGGGUCACAUUAAAGGUCAUUCUGCAACAUAUCUGAACUCCUAAGAGUGAUUUUGGCUCUAUUUCCCAAAUGUUCUGUCAUCACUGUCAAUAUUGUUAACUCAUCAUCUUAGACCUCUGGCCUUUCCUUUUUUUUCCAACAUGGUUAGCACCUGGUAGGCUCCCAACAUAUAAAUAUGUGUAAUGUAAUCAUGAUUCUCAGCAAGGCUAGCACCAUCCAAAGGGGCAAUUUUGGUUGUCACAGCAACUACUGGAUGCUACUAGUACUUACCAGGUGAGGUCAGAGAUGUUAGAAACCUUGUAAUUCAUCAGAUUCACACUAAGAAGAAUUGUCCUAUAUCCCACAAACCUUCUGAAUACCUUCCUAGGCUCUUAGGAGGUACAAAAAAAAAAGUUUAUUAUCAUCUGAACCUAGAACCUAAGUCCAUUUUACCCAUAAACAAAUAGUUUUUUGCAUAGUUAUAUGUUGAAACUUCUAUGAAUGUAACUAUAGGGUAAGUCAAGAUAAG